GAAGUGGCUGUGAUUAUAAAUGUAAUUCCUCGUUCUGAAUGCCAUUUUGAGCUUGACAGACGCUUUUUUUUUUAACACCCAUAGAAUAUGAGCCAUU